rnacentral:rRNA from 1 species
UGAGGAAUAUUGGUCAAUGGGCGCAAGCCUGAACCAGCCAUGCCGCGUGCAGGAUGACGGUCCUAUGGAUUGUAAACUGCUUUUGUACAGGAAGAAACAGUUCUACGUGUAGAACCUUGACGGUACUGUAAGAAUAAGGAUCGGCUAACUCCGUGCCAGCAGCCGCGGUAAUACGGAGGAUCCAAGCGUUAUCCGGAAUCAUUGGGUUUAAAGGGUCCGUAGGCGGUUUUGUAAGUCAGUGGUGAAAGCCCAUCGCUCAACGGUGGAACGGCCAUUGAUACUGCAAGACUUGAAUUAUUAGGAAGUAACUAGAAUAUGUAGUGUAGCGGUGAAAUGCUUAGAGAUUACAUGGAAUACCAAUUGCGAAGGCAGGUUACUACUAAUGGAUUGACGCUGAUGGACGAAAGCGUGGGGAGCGAACA